rnacentral:rRNA from 1 species
GUAGUCCACGCCGUAAACUAUGGAUACUAGGUGUUUGGGAAAUUAACCUCCUGAGUACCAAAGCUAACGCGUUAAGUAUCCCGCCUGGGGAGUACGGUCGCAAGGCUAAAACUCAAAGGAAUUGACGGGGGCCCGCACAAGCGGUGGAGUAUGUGGUUUAAUUCGAAGCAACGCGCAGAACCUUACCUACCCUUAACAUCCCACGACAACUGCAGAGAUGUGGCUUUCCCUUCGGGGACGUGGAGAUAGGUGCUGCAUGGCUGUCGUCAGCUCGUGUCGUAAGAUGUCCGGUUAAGUCCGAUAACGAGCGCAACCCUUGUUCUUAGUUACCAGCAUUAAGUUGGGGACUCUAAGGAGACUGCCGGUGUUAAACCGGA